GGGGCCUCCGGCUGCCGCGCGGAGGGCACGGAGCCUCCGGGCUCGCGGCCCCGCCCCUGUGCGUCACGGGCUGGCGGGGCGCCGAUUGGCUGUGGCAGCCGCCUCGCUCCCUCCUCGCCCGGCGGUGUAUGUCGCAGCCGCUUUUCACAGUUGUCGUUUGAAAUUCGGCCCAAAAUGGCGGCGGCGGGCAGCAGUGGGGCUGAGGCGGCGGCGGACAGGCUGGAGGGGGCGGAGGAAGAGGAGGAGACGGCGGCCGCGGCGGAGGACGAGGAGGACGGGGAGGAAGAUGGCAGCGGGGCUGGCAGGGCGGCGGGCGCGGCGGCAGCGGGCGGGGAGGCCGGCGGGGAGGCUGGCGGCGGUGGCGGCGAGAGCGAGGAGGAGGACGACGUGUUCGAGGUGGAGAAGAUCCUUGACGUGAAGACCGAGGGGGGUAAAAUUCUCUACAAGGUACGGUGGAAAGGAUACACCUCUGAUGAUGAUACCUGGGAACCAGAGGCUCAUUUGGAAGACUGCAAAGAAGUGCUGCUUGAAUUCAGAAAAAAGAUUGUAGACAAUAAGCCUAAACCUGUUAAAAAAGACAUACAGAAACUAUCUCUAAAUGAUGAUGUGUUUGAAGCAGAAUCUGACAGUGACCGGCAAAGUGAAACAAAAGAGGAUGUUUCACCAAAGAAGAAAAAGAAGAAGUCAAAAGAUGGAGAGGAUAGAAGUCCAGAUGAUCCGAAGAAGAAAAAGUCUAAGUCUGCAAAACUCAAAGAAAAACCCAGAACAGAAUGUGAAAGUUCCUCAGAUACUUUGGUUUCAGAUUCAAAGCCAAAAAAAAGGACUUCGGAAACUAAGGAGGAUUCGAAGGACCCAAAGAAGCAAAGGAAAGAAGAUACUAACGAAAUCAAGAAAAAGAAGGGAGAAGUUAAAGAUUUAAAAAUAAAAUCUAAAGAAGAUUCUAAAGAAGAUAAAAAAUCACAGAAGGAGAAGCAUGGGGAUGUUCAGUUUGACUCAGAAUUAAGUACUCUAGAAGAUGCGUUUUCUCAUGAAACUGAUAAUGAAAAUUCAGACUUGGUUUCUGAAAAUAAAGACGAGCAGCAAAUAGCAAUAAGUGGAGAGGAGAGAAUGGAACAAGAAAUUGCUGAAAAUGAUUCCUUUGCUGAUAGGCAUCUUGAUGGAUCAGCAGGUAAUGAAGAUGAUAGUGUUGAUGUUAAGGUUAAAAGAAAGAAGAAAAAAAAUCAGAAAGUUGAAGAUUAUAAAGAAGAAGGUAGAAAAGUGGAAACUCAAGAUUUAGAGAAGAAAAGCAUGCACAAAAGGCAAAAAGCUCAAGAAAAAGUAAGAGUACCGGGAGAGGUAGAGAAAGUGUCACCUCCUUCACCAGUGCAGAAGGGUUUGAAAUUGAGUGCUGAUGAAAGAGGGCGCAAGUCCACGGAUUCGCCUGGGGAGGAGAAAGAAGGAAAGAAAACUGAAACAAAAGAAAAACCUCAAAAAAAAGAGUCUGAAAAAGAAGAAAAGAACAGAAAAGAACAAAGAGGCAUAAAAAGCUUUAAGGAUAUCAAAAGUGCAUUUGACUUGUUUAAUGUAGCUUCAGAAGAAAAAAGUGAAUAUUCUGAGAAUAACUGCAAAAGAGAAGAAUCUUCGCUAGAAUAUAAAUUCAUAGAAGAAUUAAAAUCAAAAGACAGCAAGGUGUACAAGGAAAGGAGGAACAUAAAAGAUGAAACAGACACAUGGACUUACGCUGCUGCAGAAGGUGAUCAAGAAAUGGCGGAUGUGUGUCAAAUGAAGAACUCUGAUGGCAAGCAGCAAGUCUUGAGUUUGGGUAUGGACAUGCAGUUAGAAUGGCUGACGCUAGAAGACUUUCAGAAGCAUCUUGAUGGAGAAGAUGAGAAUCGUGUGUCGACAGGACCGAUAUCAAGUACUCUCCUGAGGGAUGCUGUUAAAAGUGGAGACUACAUGACAGUAAAGAUGGCACUUUCUUCAAGCGAGGAAUAUAAUCUGGAUCAAGAGGACUCAAGUGGAAUGACCCUAGUAAUGCUGGCUGCUGCUGGUGGGCAUGAUGACCUUCUCCGGGUCCUUAUCAGGAAAGGAGCUAAAGUUAAUGGUAGACAGAAGAAUGGAACAACUGCAUUGAUACUCGCAGCUGAGAAGAAUUUUCUAACAACAGUAGCUAUUCUUCUGGAAGCUGGGGCAUACGUCAACAGGCAGCAGAGCAGCGGGGAAACUGCUUUAAUGAAGGCUUGUAAAAGAGGGAAUUCGGAUAUAGUGCGGCUAAUGAUUGAAAGUGGGGCAGACUGUAACAUUUUGUCAAAGCAUCAGAACAGCGCGCUGCAUUUUGCUAAACAAUGUAAUAACAUACUGGUGUAUGAACAGCUCAAGAGUCAUUUGGACACGCUCUCGAGAGUAGCAGAGGACACCAUCAGGGAUUAUUUUGAAACUCGCCUGGCUUUGCUGGAGCCAGUCUUUCCCAUCGCGUGUCAUCGUCUCUGUGAAGGGCCAGACUUUUCUACAGAUUUUAACUACAGACCCCCCCAAAACGUGCCAGAAGGAUCGGGAAUUCUUCUCUUUAUUUUCCAUGCAAAUUUCCUUGGUAAAAAUGUCAUUGCUCGGCUCUGUGGACCAUGCAGUGUACAAGCUGUGGUUUUAAACGACAAAUUCCAGCUCCCUGUAUUUCUGGUGGCCCUGCCUGAGCAGCAGAUGGUGCCUGGUUGGAGCAGAUGGGACCUCAGAGGUCCCUUCCAACCUCAACUCGUCUGUGAUUCUGGGACUUCAGAACUGAGGGUUGAGCAGGCAGCUGAGAACUCUCUACUUAAAGCUGUUUAACUUCUCAUUCACCCAGCAUCUCAAAUUUUUGACCCAAGAUAGUCACUUUAUUUAUUCCUUCAGCCCUACUGCAGGCCUUAACAAGCUUUUUAUACGGUUGACCGAAGCUCCUACUGCCAAGGUGAAGCUGCUCAUAGGCGCAUACCGAGUGCAGCUGCAGUGACCUCAGGGCUGAGAGCACGUUGAGUGGGCUGACACGUUUUUGGACGUUCUUCUGACUCCUGGUCAGAGACUGACAAAGCAGUUUGGAACUUCUGGGCACCGCACUCUUAAGACGAAGUUCCCAUCUCGCUGCCACUCGUUGGCAGGCCCACAGGAGUGUGUGUUGGGGAGCAGCUCAGUGUGCUGCGCUGGUGGGACGGGGCUCUCAGCUUUUUUUACUUUGUACAGAUGUAGAUGUAAGUAUUUGUGCCAAUACAUAUAAUUCUGUUUUUCUUUAACUUGUGGAGUCCAGAUUGCCUAUUUCAGCUUUUCCACAAUGUGGAGUGGUGCAUAUAAGAACUAUUUAAGGUAACUAUGUGAAAUGUCUUUUUUAAUAGAAAGAUCUUUUCCAUUUGUAAACUAAAAUUUUCUACCUGCUCUAACUGUAAUGUUUCUCUGUAAAACGCAGAACUGUCGUAUUCUUGGAGCUGUGGGCAGAAAUUACACUUGGAAGUCACUGCGUUAGAUCUAACUUUGAAUUGCUUAGGGCUGUGUUCUGGUUUGAAGCUUCUCCUGCUCUUGUCUCCCAAUGAGGGAGCAGUUGUGCUUUGAGCCAUUCGCUUUGAACAAACACCGGUAGGGCUGCAGGUAUGAACAGGACAUCUCAAUAGGUUCCACUCAUAGAGGAUCGCAGUCAGAUUCCUAAUUAUAUCACGGUUUUAAAACUACUUUAGUGUUAGAGAAGCAACUGACAAUUUUACAGACAUCUUAACAUCUGAGUUGUUAGUGAAGUGACAUGUGGGAAAACAAAUACAAGCUGAAAACAGCAAACCAGAAAACUUGUAACUACCUGAAAUGUGCAGGCAAUGCUGUUUGUAGACAAGAAGAGCCAUAGAGGAUUUCAGAUGUUCUCAGCCUGACAGAUGAGAAUGUAAAUUGCCCUGAAAUUCAGAAGUUCAGUUCCUCAGUGCAAAGAGCUGCUAAUUUUUUUAAUUUAUUUAAAUGACCCAUUUUAUCAGAUGACAGCAGUUCUGUAAUGGUCCUGUGCUGUAAAAUACCAAUGUAAUACUUCUCCAUGAGGUAUAAAAUAUUUUUCUUUGUAAAUUAACCAACAUCUUGAAAAGCUAAAAAAAAAAAAAAAAAAAGAAAAGAAAAAGAAAAAAACCUGCAGAUUGUGCCUUUGCUGUUCUGGUUGCCACAGGUAGCUUACAUGCCACUAUGUGCCUAUCUCGUUAGCAAAACUAUGGGGGAUAAAUCCUUAAUGUAUCUGAGUGCUCACCAUCAAAAUGGUGCGGAUGUGUUAAGUAUUCUGUUAAGAACUGUGACUUUUUAUUACAAAGUUCAGUUAGUUUUUAAUUUUUGGUUAGUUUUUAAUUUUUGGUUCUUGAAAGUUCAAAACUUUCACAUUUAAGUGAUGCCAGAUAUAACAAAGCACGCUAUUUCAAUUUUGUGGACUGUCCCAUUAAGCUGUAAGACUAGAACAGCAACAUGACAUACAAGUACUAAUUUCUGGUUUGAUUUAGGAUUGUUGUGUGUCUUUUUGCGCACAGUGGUGAUGAGACAUGAGCACAUCUAGGUUUUGAACAGACUUGGUACCUCCACCUCUCUGAAAUCCGUUAGAUACCUCAUUUUGUUAAGUGUGGGCACCUGAAAUGCGUGAAAAGCGCUGGCUGAGAAUCAGGCACAGCGCUGCCAGCACUUAGGACAGUGUGUGGCUGUUCUUAGUCACUGUGCAUAACCAUGGAAGGUGAAGUAAGGACGGGCACAUUCGCUGAGUGGUCCUGUUGUAGUCACAGUUCUCAUGGAUGGAGCUCGCCCUUCCUCAGUUACUCCGGUGUGUAGGUGUCUGUGUGUGGCAAGUGCUGCACAGCACUUAUUCCUCGUAAAUGUUUGAGCUGUUUGGGGUGGGGACAAAAGGUUUUGGAACAAAAGUCCAUAUAAUAUAGAUUCUAUUUAGAAACUGUUGUACAGUCUAACCUAAAACUGUCUAGCAAUGCUCCAGGAGUUGACAUAGCAAGUAGAUUGUCAAAGGCUGACUGGGGGCAGGGAGGAAGGGGAUGUUUCCUUUGGGGUUUUGUUGUUUUCUUUUCUUUCCUUGAGGCAUUUGAGAGAGAGAGGAGUCCUACAGGACAUGGGCAUAAAAUUUGGGUUCAUGCUGCUUUUGUUAAGGGAUGGAUUUUGCAGUCAUCUUUCUCUUUUAGUUGGUGAUACAAAUUCCAAAUCCAUACUGAAGGUGCAUAUGGUAAAGUUGUUUGAAGCUGGUUUUUGUCCUAUUCCUAUUAUAUGGUUUUUAUCCAAUUGCUAAGAAAAAGGUUUUGGUGGACAAAGUGGCUACAAUAAAAAUCCAAUUCUUUAGGCCUGGUGGAGAAAUA